GUGUCAGCCGCCGCGGUAAUACGUAGGGUGCAAGCGUUAAUCGGAAUUACUGGGCGUAAAGCGUGCGCAGGCGGUUUCGUAAGUCUGUCGUGAAAUCCCCGGGCUUAACCUGGGAAUGGCGAUGGAGACUGCGAGGCUAGAGUUUGGCAGAGGGGGGUAGAAUUCCACGUGUAGCAGUGAAAUGCGUAGAGAUGUGGAGGAACACCGAUGGCGAAGGCAGCCCCCUGGGUCAAAACUGACGCUCAUGCACGAAAGCGUGGGGAGCAAACAGGAUUAGAUACCCUGGUAGUCCACGCCCUAAACGAUGUCUACUAGUUGUUGGGUCUUAAUUGACUUAGUAACGCAGCUAACGCGUGAAGUAGACCGCCUGGGGAUACGGUCGCAAGA
rnacentral:rRNA from 1 species